CUGAUUUUUGCUUAAAUGAAGAAUUUGCGAAGAGGAUACGUGGGAUUUUCACUUAAAUGGGGGAUUUGCAAAGAGAAAACGCGUGAUUUUCGGGUUAAAUGGGAAUUCUCGAAGAGAAAACGCGUGAUUUUCGGCUUAAAUGGGGGAUUCCCGAAGAGAAAACACGUGAUUUUUGGUUUAAAUGGGGGAUUCCAGAAGAGAAAACGCGUGAUUCUCGCUUAAAUGGGGGAUCUCAAAAAGAAAACGUGUGAUUUUCGGGUUAAAUGGGGGAUUCUCGAAGAGGAAAUGUGUGAUUUUCGCUUAAAUGGUGGAUUGUCGAAGAGAAAACGCGUGAUUUUCAAGUUAAGUGGGGGAUUCUCAAAGAAAAAACGCGUGAUUUUCGCUUAAAUGGGUGAUUCUUGAAGAGAAAACGCGUGAUUUUUGCUUAAGUGGGGGAUUCUCGAAGAAAAAAACGCGUGAUUUUCAGUUAAAUCGCGGAUUCUCGAAGAGAAAACGUGUGAUUUUUGGGUUAAAUGGGUGAUUCUCCAGGAGAAAUUGCUUGAUUUUCUCUUAAAUGGGGGAUUCUCAAAGAGAAAACGCAUGAUUUUCGGGUUAAGUGGGGGAUUUCCGAAUUGAAAAUGCAUGAUUUUUGCUUAUAUGGCGGAUUUCCAAAGAGAAAACGUGAUUUUCACUUAAAUUUGGGAUUCUCGAAGAGAAACCACCUGAUUUUUGCUUAAAUGAAGAAUUUGCGAAGAGGAUACGUGGGAUUUUCACUUAAAUGGGGGAUUUGCAAAGAGAAAUCGCGUGAUUUUCGGGUUAAAUGGGGGAUUCUCGAAGAGAAAACGCGUGAUUUUCGGGUUAAAUGGGGGAUUCUCGAAGAGAAAACGCGUGAUUUUCGGGUUAAAUGGGAAAUUCUCGAAGAGAAAACGCGUGAUUUUCGGCUUAAAUGGGGGAUUCCCGAAGAGAAAACCGUGAUUUUUGGUUUAAAUGGGGGAUUCCGGAAGAGAAAACGCGUGAUUCUCGCUUAAAUGGGGGAUCUCAAAAAGAAAACGUGUGAUUUUCGGGUUAAAUGGGGGAUUCUCGAAGAGGAAAUGUGUGA
ensembl:lncRNA